rnacentral:rRNA from 1 species
UACGAAGGGGGCUAGCGUUGCUCGGAAUUACUGGGCGUAAAGCGCACGUAGGCGGCUCUUUAAGUCAGGGGUGAAAUCCUGGAGCUCAACUCCAGAACUGCCUUUGAUACUGAGGACCUUGAGUUCGGGAGAGGUGAGUGGAACUGCGAGUGUAGAGGUGAAAUUCGUAGAUAUUCGCAAGAACACCAGUGGCGAAGGCAGCUCACUGGCCCGAUACUGACGCUGAGGUGCGAAAGCGUGGGGAGCAAACAGG